GUGAGGAAUAUUGCACAAUGGAGGAAACUCUGAUGCAGCAACGCCGCGUGGAGGAUGACGCAUUUCGGUGUGUAAACUCCUUUUAAGAGGGAAGAUUAUGACGGUACCUCUUGAAUAAGCACCGGCUAACUCCGUGCCAGCAGCCGCGGUAAUACGGAGGGUGCAAGCGUUACUCGGAAUCACUGGGCGUAAAGGGUGCGUAGGCUGACUUUUAAGUCAGGCGUGAAAUCCAAUGGCUUAACCAUUGAACUGCGCUUGAAACUGGGAGUCUAGAGUUCAGAAGGGGCAGAUGGAAUUAGUGGUGUAGGGGUAAAAUCCGUAGAUAUCACUAGGAAUAUCAAAAGCGAAGGCGAUCUGCUGGGAUGAUACUGACGCUGAGGCACGAAAGCGUGGGGAGCAAACAGGAUUAGAAACCCUAGUAGUCC
rnacentral:rRNA from 1 species